rnacentral:snRNA from 1 species
GAUUAUGAAGACAUCCUGCUACAUCUGCCCCUCCAUUGAUUGCAAGGGUUGAUCUGGCUGAUUUAGAAGGCAGGGCAGGUGUCUCCUUCCCUCAUCAUUCCUCGUGUGUCCCUCCCAAAGUUACGCACUGGGUCAAAGAGGAUGACCGUCCCUGAUAGAGGAAUAUGAGUCUUCAGUGAAGAGUUCAGAAAUAGCUGCACUUCCCUGGAAGAACAUCCAAACAAGCUCUCAAGGCUCAAGUAGACACAUAUGAGACUGUGAGGAGCAAGCACUUCGUAUUCAAACUUUGACAGGUCCGAAGGGGCCACGAC